rnacentral:lncRNA from 1 species
GCCUGGAGGAGGCAGGAUCCCAGAGAGAGGAGGAUUCCCAAGAGCUGAUGACAUGGGUCUAGCCCAGCCUCCAGCAGGGGAGGAACACAAGACUCCAGGGCAGUGAGGAGCCCACACUUUGCCCAGACCUGGACCCACCCGAGCGGGCCACCUGUUCUCCAGAGCUGAAUCACGAGAUGACACUGACCCGGGGGCUGCUCUCCCUGGCUCUGCUGGCGCUCUGCUGGGGACUCAGCACAACAGGGGCUGAAGGGACUAUCCCUCUGGAGACCCUGCGCUGCCACAAUGACUACACCAGCCGCAUCAUCUGCAGGUGGGCAGACACCCAGGAUGCCCAGCAACUGGUCAACGUGACCCUCUACCGCAGGCCCAAGGAGGACCAUCCACAGCGAGUGUCCUGCAAUCUUAGUGACGACAAGCCCUGGUUAAACAGCCCUUGUCCUGGCUGUGUACCCAGAAAAUGUGUUAUUCCUUACCGAAACUUUGUCCUUGCCGACUAUGACUACUUCUCAUUCCAACCGGACCAGCCUCUGGUCACUGAGCUCACCGUUAAUCUGAGUCAGCAUGUGCAGCCCCCCACACCCAAGGACCUCAGCGUCACGACUACCGGGGAGAGUCUCCUGCUGUCCUGGAGGAUAGCCCAUGAGGGUUUCCAGAGCCACUGGCUAUCCAGCCUGGAGUUUGAGGUGGCCUACAAGCGACUUCAGGACUCCUGGGAGGAUGCCCACACCAUCCACUCCACGUCCCCCCAGGCCAUCUUGGAGCUAAAGUACCUCCUGCCCAGCAGCACCUACGUGGCCCGAGUGUGCACCAGGCUGGCCCCAGGCUCGGGGCUCUCAGGACGACCCAGCCAGUGGAGCCAGGAGGUUUCCUGGAACUCCCAGCCAGGGGAUAAGGCCCAGCCUCAGAACCUCCAGUGCUUCUUUGACGGGGCCGCCCUGCUUACUUGCACCUGGGAAGUGAGGUCCGAGGUAACCCGCUCUGUCUCCUUCACCCUCUUCUACAAGACCGGCCCUGAUGCACGGGAGGAAGAAUGUUCUCCUGUGCAGAAGGAGACUGGCAGUCCCUACAUCCGGCACCGAUGCCAGAUUCCUGUGCCUGACCCCAGGAACUACAGCCAGUACAUCGUCUCUGUUCGACCAAAGAUGGAAGAGAAACUUAUAAAGAGCUCAGACAACAUCCAGAUGGCUCCCCCAACCCUCAACGUGACCAAGGGCAGAGAUGGCUACAUCCUGCACUGGAAAGAAGAAAAAAUGAGCUACUCACACAUAGCUUGCAUCUUCCAGGUCCAGUACAAGAAAGAAGGAGCCUCAUGGGAGGACACCAAGACAGAGGACUUCCAGAAUGCCCACACCAUGUCACUGCCGCCUCUGGAGCCAGCCAGCCGGUACCAGGCCAGAGUGAGAGUAAAACCCGACCCGGGGAACUACAAUGGGAUCUGGAGCGAGUGGAGUGAGGCAAGGUCUUGGGACACCGACUGGGUGCUGCCCAUGUGGGUCCUAGCCCUCAUCCUUGUCAUCAGCACCUUAAUCCUGCUUCCAAUUCUGCACUUCUGUGGCGUCUACGGGUACAGGCUGAACCGGAAAUGGGAGGAGAAAAUCCCCAACCCCAGCAAGAGCCACCUGUUCCAGAACGGGAGUGCUGGACUCCGGCUGCCAGACAGCGUGGCCACCCUGGGCGGUGGAAGCUGCCCACAGAAGGGGCCGUGGGGCAGCAGCUGCCCUCAGCUCCUGGAGGGGGUGUUCCCUGUAGACUGCAGGCACAGCGAGGUGUCACCUCUCACCACAGAGGACCCUAAAGAUGCCUGUGACUCAUCAUCAGAGCCUGACAUGACUCUGAUCGCCUCGGACCUUCCCACGGAGCAGACCCCCAACCCCCCGACAGAGCUGACUGCCCCCUCAAGCAGGCCUGAGAGCCAGGCUUCCGGCUUUGACUUCAACGGUCCCUAUCUGGGGCCGCCCCACAGCCGCUCCCUGUCUGACCUCAUGGGCCAGCAGGUGCCCCCACAGACAGGCAUGAGCAGGAAGCCACAGUCCUCGGGGUCCCUGGAGUACCUGUGUCUGCCCGCAGGGGGGCAGGUGCAGCUGGUCCCGCUGGCCCAGGUGAAGGGGCAGGGCAAGGCUGGGGAUGGGGAUACAAAGUCCAGCCCAGGGGCCCAGAGGAGCCAUUCCCUGGAGUCAGGGGUGGGCCUUGCCCCUCCAGAGCCUGGGCUGAUGGAGGAUGGUCAAGACCAGAAGGAUAGGGCCCCCACAGUUCUGCCCACUGGCUGGCCUGAGGAUGGUACCAUAGCCUCUGGUUAUGUCCCCACUCCAGAUCUGAUAUUCACCCCACCCACUGAGGCCCCAUCUCCCUCCCAGGCUGCCCCUCCGAACCUCCCCUCAGACCAGAACCCCACUUUCCAUCCUGGACUGGCUAAUGGGCCCCCUGUAGCCUCAGCUCCCCGGAAACCAGAGUUCGAGGGCUAUGUGGAGCUCCCUCCAGCCACAGGCCAGUUUCCCCAGUCCCCUCUAGCCAGCCCUGCCCCUCCUAGAGUCAGCAGCCCUGUCCUGAGCCCAGGCCUGCACCGGGCAGAUGUGCCCCCCACCUCCCCUACCCCUGAGGGUCUCCUUGUCCUGCAGCAGGUGGGUGACUACUGCUUCCUUCCUGGCCCUCUCUCCCCCCAGAGUAAGCCCACUUCCCCAGGACCAUGUCCUGAGAUCAGGGACCUCAACCAGGUGGUCCAGGCUAAGAAGCCUCCAGCUCAGGCCUUUCCCCAGGUGCCAGCCAUUCAGCUCUUCAAAGCCCUGAAACAGCAGGACUACUUGUCACUGCCCCCUUGGGACAUCAGCAGGCCUGGGCAGGUGUGCUGAGUCUCUGUAGACCUGGAGGGAGGGGAACAGAGGAAAGGGCCUGCGUUUCCUCCUGCCCUGCCUGGCGCUCCUGCCACCCCUGCUCCCUUCCCUGGUCCUUUCUGCAAAGCCAUGGAGAAGCUUCCAUGUUGUAACAGAUGGAGACCAGAAAAAUAAGUUAACCAUCUACCUCCUUCCUUGACCUUCAGCAAGGUCAAGCUUCUCUCCCUCCCUUCCUCUCUGCCACACACACACAUACACACACACACACACACUGUUCUUUGAAAUUAACUUAUUUUAAGUUCUGAAUUAUUGGAACUUUAUAUAUAUAUAUACACCAGAGAAGGAAAUGGCAACCCACUCCAGUACUCUUGCCUAGAGAAUCCUGUGGACAGAGGAGCCUGGUGGACUGCUGUCCAUAGGGUCGUACAGAGUCGGACACGACUGAAGCGACUUAGCAUGCCUGCAUGCAUUGGAGAAGGGAAUGGCAACCCACUCCAGUAUUCUUGCCUGGAGAAUCCCAGGGACGGAGGAGCCUGGUGGGCUGCCGUCUGCGGGGUCGCACAGAAUCAGACGACACGACUGAAGCAACUUAGCAGCAGCAUAUAUACACACACUCAUUUCAUUUGUCUCCUUUUCCUUUUUACUAAGUUUCCCUGCUUUUGCUAUUGUCUUCUUUCUCUUUCCACUGAUUUAUCACUAGAAUUAGUUUGCGGUCUGGGCUAAGCCCAUUCUGAAGUUCAUCCUGUCUCCAUCAGAGCCUUUUCUGAUGCUGACACGUCUGGUUUCGUGGAGGAUUUCUGUCUGUCCCUGGCAGGCGUGAAUGUGCACAAGAGUCCAGCCUGGAGGCAGGAGGCUGGAGGCAGUGUGGAGGCUUGGGGGUUUCAGACUUGGAAGAGCAGCCCUGGACACAGCAAGCAUCUGUCACCCCAGGUGUGGUAGCAAAGCACCAGCCUCAACUGUCUCUCCAAGAAUUGUCACUUCCCAUGGACUUGGCAUGGGAAGCACUGUCCUGAACUCA